CGAACCGCAAGCACGCGAAAAAACAAUCGCCCCUCUCUCUCCACUAACCAAAUCCCAAUCCCCCCACUGCCGUACGCCCACCUCCUCCACUCCCGUGCCCUCCUCCACCUUCUCCGGUGCCGCCGCUCGGGCCUCGCCGCACCACCUCCUUCCUUCGGCGCUGCCGCUUCGUCCCCGCCACACCACCUCCUUCCUCCGGCGCCGUGUUGGCGCCCUACAUCGGCCCGACCCCCCUCCCUCCCACCUUCUUCCUCCUCCCACCUACCCUCCACCUUUCAUUGUCGGUGCCUCCCUAGCGCCCGUCCAACUCCCUCCAUUGACGGAUCCAACUCGCCACUCCCCCAUAGAGCACCUCUCGGUGAAUCCGAUGCGCGGCUCCCAACGGCCCCUUCCUUCUCGGCAAAUCCAGGCGCGCCUCCCAACAGCACCAGGCGCCUCGCGCGGCUACUGGCGCGGAUCCUGGCACGCCGCCACCAGGAGCCCCGUGCGGCUGCCGGCAUGGAUCCGGCUGCGCCACCCCAAGGCUUCUCGUGAAGCUGCCGGUGUGGAUCCAGACGCGCCGCCCGCAGAUACCCCGCGCUGCUGCUGGCGUGGGUCCUCCCCCGCCACCCCGCCACCCCGCCGUGGCCUCCCUGCAUCCCCUCCCCACCAGCAAGGUGCUCUGUUGAGGGGCGCCAAAAGUCAGGCCCUGCUCCGACCGGAGGCAUUGCAGGAGCCGCGCGCUGCCUCCCCGUGUGGCUUUCCGAGCCGUUGAUCCUCUGCGCCGACGUGAUUCACCACCCACACCAACGCCCCCCGGUGAGAGCAGCUCUUUUGACUGGGCUCCUGGCACGCGGUUCAGGCAGAGUGGAUGUUCAGUACGCCGGGGCUACCAUAGCAGAGGCACGACGUGAUUGGCCACCACCUCGCCGCGAAGACGAACCUGCCUGGACCCGUGCCGCCGCGGCCGGGCCAGCUCCCCCAUCACGCCUCUUCCCCAUCCUAGAUUUUACGGUUGAUGGGUCGCUGAUGCCUCAGGUGGCUCCUGGGCGAGAGGGCUCUCUGAAGUCCGUGCCGGCAUGCAGUUUGGUUGACCGUGGAUUGCAUUUCCCUUUGACGACUAGGAGGGUCACCUCUCGCCAUAGUGCAGCUCGGCUGGCUCUCUAUUGCAGCUCCUUCGGCUGGGUGUUCGCGGUUCUGUUUGAAAGUGUUUUGCAUAGUUUUCGGUUCAGGGCUUCUUUUGUGCAGUUCAUUGCUUUCUCUUUGAAAAUUUUGUGUAUGAUCCAGGACUCCACCUCCGCUUUCAGUCCAGAAUUGCCGCGCAGUGUAUUUGACAAAGGAGUUCACUUUGCAGAAAAAAUUGUACAUGGGAGUUCACUUCUUUGUUAUUUUGGGGGGAAUUGUUUUUUGCAAAAUUGUAAGGACAAUGGUGUAUAAUUUCUUAAAAUCGAUGCAGCUCACUAAGAACAUCUUUGUGGUGCACUUUCUACUAUCUUGCAGGUUAUUUGUUCUCUAUGGCCGUAUGUGUUGUGCACUGCACCCAUGCGUAUCGAGGAGCUGCAGUUCGGUUUCCAGUCUAGCGAGGUGCAGCGGCGGCAGUAGCUACGGGAGCAUAGCAGCAGGCGGCGGUGUGCAAAGAAGGUCGUUCGAUCCGUUGCUCGUGGCCUCCAAUUGCUCCACUGCUAGCUGCUAUCUCCACCGCUUCUGCUCCUGACUGCAGGGUCAAAUUGGGGAGACGAGGACACCCACUGCUCUAGCACCCGCAAGCUCCCGUGCAGUUUGUGCAGUGCACCAAUGAAAUUCAGAGUCUCGUUGUGUGGUGCGGAUCAUGUGUGUUGCAGAGAUUGGGCCCGGCGGUACUGCUGAUGCCCGGCACUUGAAUCCGCUAUUGUUAAUUGCUGCGGUUUCAAAUUGAUUUCUUUUGCAGGAGAGAAGCCAAGAAGCAAAUAAAGAGAAAAGAAGUGCACAACACACUCACUAAAAAGAACUUGUCGAUGAUCGUUUGCUAAUUAAAUCGUUAAUGUGUAUUAUGAAAAAGGCAAAUAGUGAAAGAAAAAGUGCACUGCACACGAGUGCAGUGCACUAGGCGUGUGUUUGCAGUGGGCAAUGCGGCAAAAGGCAGCCCAUGUGGUUCAGUUAGUUGCUGGUGGUGCUCGAGAGCUAAUUCUGCUCUGUAGAGAUAUAUGUACGACUGUAUGUGUGCCUAGAGAUUCAUUAUUUUUUGCCUUUUUGCAUCAAGAAAAUCCCCUUAUUAUUAGGGGAAUUGAUGUUCAUUGUUACGAAAAAUGUGUAACGUUCACUCUGUAAAAAAGCAUGGUCAUUAUUAUCA